GUCGGGAAUUUUGGGCAAUGGGCGCAAGCCUGACCCAGCAACGCCGCGUGAAGGAUGAAGUAUUUCGGUAUGUAAACUUCGGAAGUAUGGGAAGAAUAAAUGACGGUACCAUAUCUAAGCCCCGGCUAACUCCGUGCCAGCAGCCGCGGUAAUACGGAGGGGGCAAGCGUUGUUCGGAUUUACUGGGCGUAAAGGGCGCGUAGGCGGCGUGACAAGUCACUUGUGAAAUCUCCGGGCUUAACUCGGAACUGCCAAGUGAUACUGUCGUGCUAGAGUGCAGAAGGGGCAACUGGAAUUCUUGGUGUAGCGGUGAAAUGCGUAGAUAUCAAGAGGAACACCUGAGGCGAAGGCGGGUUGCUGGGCUGACACUGACGCUGAGGCGCGAAAGCUAGGGUAGCAAACGGGAUUAGAAACCCUAGUAGUCC
rnacentral:rRNA from 1 species